GGGCUCCCGUCAGCAGCGCACACACUAAAUUGGAAACGAUGCCGAGAAGAUUGGCAUGGCCCCGGAGCAAGGGUGAUAUGCAAAUUCGUGAAGCAUGCCAUAGUUUU